AUGCUCGCUUCAGCAACACAUGCACUAAAAUUGGAAUGACGCAGAGAAGAUUAGCAUUGCCUCUGCACAAGGAUGACACAGAAAUUUGUCAAGCAUUCUAUAUAUAA